rnacentral:tRNA from 1 species
GAGAGAAGCCCGAUGGCAGUGAGGACUGCUAAUCCUUUACCCCCACGGUUGAACCCCGUGGUUCACUCG